rnacentral:lncRNA from 1 species
UCAGAUCGGGGACGUAGGCUUCCACUUGCUCCGUGGUCAUGUUGUCUAGGUAGCCCAUGGCGAGGUCGUUGGCGCCGAUUUUGAAGGUGUAAAGCGCCUUGGAGACCAGGUGCUCGGGGUUCGGCAGGAUCUCCCGGUAGACUCCGCCUACGUUGUUGUAGAUGUGCGAUAACUAUGUCACAUCUAAAUGUGUCCUAAACACACCCUUGCUAAAAAUACAUCCAGGAGCUGCAUUUAAGUUUGAUUUUCACCUAUGUUGUUGUAGACGAAGCGGCUCCUGUUGAUGAACUGCUGGAAUUGCCAGAGCUGCACGUCCAGGGAAAUGGGGCUGUACCCGGAGGUCCACAGGCUCCCGUUCACCCGUCUGAUGGUUCCGGCGGCGCUCGCGAAAUUGGCUCCCUGCGUGAAGUUGCUCCCUAGUGAAUCCAGGUACGCAUUCAGGUAACGUAGCCCCAGGUUUUGAGCUGCGAUACGUCGUACGUGUUAGGAAAAAUAAAAAAUCUCUAGUUUUGAGUUGUUUGUGCAGGAAAGAAAAAACUCUAAAUCCAUCCUAGUUUUGAGUUGUAGAUAAAUGUCAUGAGUACCCAUGAAGUCGAUGACGAGGCGGCCGUCGCUCUGCCGCCCGGCCGGCAUGCCGAAGAAGGUCUGGCCGUAGGGCGGCUGCACCGCCGGGAAGAGGGCCGGGAAGGCUCCGGUGUCCGAGGAGGAGUCGCCGAAGUUGAAGAUGGCCGGGAAGCCGCACGGGGAAUCUUCGGAGCGCACCAUUUCUAGUACCACCAGCAACACCACGAACGUGAUCAGUUUGUUGGUGGCCAUGGUGGUGCGACGGCGAGCUGAAAUCAUUUCCGACCUCUCGACCGUGUGCCGUGACGGUGAAGCUGCUUGAAGUGGAUUUAUACACGCCGGCACCGAGGUCGUCACAGUCGAGCACCCGUGUUGGACUGGCGGUCUCCGACGUGAUCCUAAAGAGAUGGAAUAGCUACGUUUUGUUGACAACUAGUAUUAAGCGGCUGAUUUCCAUGCACCACCCUCCAUAGACCAACGGGUCAUCACCGUUUGCGUGGCACCUUAGGACAAGCAACAAGGCGUGCUUGACCCUUGAUUACUCUCUAGCACUACAGUAUCUUGACGUUUAGUUCCAUGGUGACGUGGCCAAGAUGCAUUCAUUUCUGCGAGAAAUAAUUAUGGACUGAUGAAAUAUCUUCUGUACAAUAUUUGAGUAGCGACACGUGUCGGAGUGGGAACAAGUGAAGGCGAUGGAUUCGGGGGCGGCGAUCAACUCGAUGCUGCAGACUGAAGAACGAUCAGGAUGCAUGAAGUCCUUUUGCGUUUGUCUUUCAAACUAUGCUCUCGUUUCGCAUGCGGAUUAUGCUUUAUUGUUUAAAUUCGAACUCAUUUGCCGAAAUCGCUGUCAAAUUCCAACUAUGUUCUAUUGCGUGGUUUUUCGGUUUGCGGGUCGCCGCGGUGGCACCCGAGCACACACCACAUUGACAACCCGUAUAAUAGCAUUUUUUUGCGAAUAUGCUUUAUACGGCUCCGUUUUGGGGGGUCCACCUCUGUCCGCACCCGCGCCGCCCGCAAGAUCCAUUUUUCACGAACUGUAAACGAUUUUUGCGGGUCGAAAUUAUACGGGGUCUGCUAGAAAUGCCCUUAUGAUCAUGUUGGAGCACCAGCCCAAAACGGAUGAUGGACUCCGACGACUUGACGGUGCCGGCGUGUAUGAAUCCUGACGGCCAGUGCCAUUCUCAAAAGGACAAAAGAAGAAAAAAGGACCAGUCCAGUAGUAAUGCAUGUGGUACUUCAUGUUCUGGAUGGAUGCUGGACUUGACUUGCCGGCCGGCCUGUAUAAACCACAAAUCAUUUUCCCUGCAGCUUCACCGUCACGGGCACCGGACGAGCGGCGGGAAAUGGCUUGAGCUCAUGGUUGAACUACCAUGGCGACCAAUCUCAUGUCCGUCGUGUUGCUAAUGGUGAUAAAGCUCUCUGCUGGGGCGCGCUCUGACGAAUCCCCGUGCAGCUUCCCGGCAAUCUUCAAUCUCGGUGACUCCAACUCGGACAACGGAGCUUUCCCGACCCUCUUUCCGGCUGUGCAGCCGCCCUACGGCCAGACCUUCUUGGGCAAUGGGCAUGCCGGCCGGGCGGCAAAGCGACGGCUGCCUCACCAUCGACUUCCUGGGUACACAUCUAUCUACAACAUCUCAUAGGGAUCGUAUGCAUCGUGCUGCUGCAGAGGUGAUAACCGAUGAUUUUAUUUCCUAACACACGUAACGUACGUAUUGCAGCUCAAGCAUGUUACCUGAGUGCAAUUUACUCAAUAUAACAUGUUUGUCAUGUAGUUCACCAUAGAUAUAUUUCUUAUUCAUAGAUUUUCUACACGAUAUUAUCUCAUUGCAGAUUUUAUUUGGAUUACGGAUACUAGUGCAGAUUUUAUUUGGAGUACGGAUGUCUGGAAAAAUAAUCCUACAUUCAGAAUCUAAUUAAUGAACAUCAUGCGCAUUGCCCUUUGCCCUGGCAGGCCCCACGCAAAGGCACCGGAGGGUCGGAGAGAGCGCCGUCCACGAUCUGGUCGAAGAUGAAUUUGUAAGCCGCCUCUGUCAAGUGCACCCCAUCCCAGCUCACGCUCUUCGAUGGGUCCUCGCAAGACUUCCCCUCUAGGACCGGAUCACCGCACCGGAUGUUCUUGUCGAAGUUGUACUGGCCGCCGCCGUACCCGCAACACACACGCAGAGGAUCCCCAAAACCGAACUUUUUGGCUUCGCUCAUCAACUUGUACGUGGCGGCGUACACGUCGACGUAGGUGAAGGCGGCCUCGGGGAGAGCCACCCUGAGCCUCGCCACGGUCUCCUUGAGCCGCGCAUUGAAGAACUGGGGGCCGGCGUUGAGCGCGACAGAGCAGCCGGCGUCGUCCUUCUCCGCGGCGAGGUCAGGGCGGUAGACCAGGGCGUAGGGGAGGCACCCGAGCGUCCCCGUGUUGUGCACCCAGAAGUACCUCCCGCCAUGGUUGUACACCGUCUGGAUCGCCGACGCGAGCCUCUCCAUUAGAUCGGGGACGUAGGCCUCCACUUGGGCCGUGGUCAUGUUUUCUAGGUAGCCCAUGGCGAGGUCGUUGGCGCCGAUGUCGAAGGUGUAAAGCGCCUUGGAGACCAGGUGAUCUGGUUUGGGCAAGAUCGCUCGGUAGAUUCCACCUGCGUCGAUAUCGAGGAACCUCCGGUAAGAAAUUGCUAAAAGACAUCUAGAUGUGAGAUAACUAUUGCACAUCUAAGUCCUAUGUGAUUGACCUUACGUCGAGAUUCGUGUGAGUAUCUUUUUUACUUUUUACUUUUUUUUAUGCUUGAUUUAGCAUUUUAGAUGUGCGAUAAUUAUGUCACAUCUAGAUGUGUCCUAGACACACCCUUGCUACAAAAUAUAUAUCGAGGAGCUGGAUUUAAGUUUGAUUUUCACCUAUGUUGUUGUAGACGAAGCGGCUCCUGUUGAUGAACUGCUGGAAUUGCCAGAUCUGCACGUCCAAGGAAAUGGGGCUGUAUCCGGAGGUCCACAAGCUCCCGUUCACUCGUCUGAUAGUUCCAGCGGCGCUCGCGAAAUUGGCUCCCUGCGUGAAGUUGCUCCCUAGCGAAUCCAGAUACGCAUUCAGGUAACGCAGCCCCAGGCUUUGAGCUGCGGCACAUACGUGUCAGGGAAACAAUAUAGAAAAUCUCCAGUUUUGAGAUGUUGUAGGUAGAUGUG